GAGGCUGGUGAAGUGGGAGGGCCCAGAGGACCCAGGGGCCCAGGAUUAGGGAGCCCCAGAGGUUCCGUGGAGGAUUUGGUGGUCUUAGGGGCCAUGGUUAUGGUUGAGGCUUUGGGCCUGUGGAGGUAAAGCUGAAGACAAAAUGUGGAUCCUCGUCACCAAUCUGGGCGGCCUGGUUAAAACAUGAAGCUCAAGUCCUUGGAGGAGAUGUACCUGUUCUCCCUGCCCAUUAAGGAGUCUGAGAUUAUUGACUUUUUCCUGGGUGCAUCCCUAAAGCAUGAGGUUCUGAAAAUCUUGCCAGUGCAGAAGCAGACUCGGGCUGGCCAGCGGACCAGGUUCAAGGCUUUUGUUGCUAUGCACGUUGGUCUUGCUGUUAAGUGCACCAAGGAGGUUGCCACUGCCAUCUGUGGGGCCAUCAUCUUGGCCAAGCUUUCCAUCGUUUUGUGUGGAGAAGCUAUUCAGGGAUCAAGAUUGGCAAGCCCCACACUGUUCCAUGCAAGGUGACAGGCCACUGUGCUUCUGUCCUGGUUUGUCUCAUCCCUGCACCCAGAGGCACUGGCAUUGUCUCUGCUCCUGGGCUGAAGAAGCUACUGAUGAUGGCUGGUAUAGAUGACUGUUACGCUUCAGCCAGAGGCUUCACUGCCACCCUGGGCAACUUUGCCAGAGCCAACUUUGAUAUCAUCUCCAAGACCUACAGCUACCUGACCCCCACACUCUGGAAAGAGACUAUGUUCACCAAGUCUCCUUAUCAGGAAUUCACUCACCAUCUUGUGAAAACCCACAGCAGAGUCUCUGUUCAGAGGACCCAGGCUCCAGCUGUGGUUACCACAUAA
rnacentral:lncRNA from 1 species